UGGCAAGGUAUUUCCUGAGGCUGUGAUC
rnacentral:piRNA from 1 species